GAGAUUGUGGCUCAGUGGUAGAGCACUCACCUAGCACGUGCAAGAUGCUGGGUUCAAUCCUCAGCAUCACA
rnacentral:tRNA from 1 species